rnacentral:rRNA from 1 species
CUAAGUUUGAUGGCGACCGGCGCACGGGUGAGUAACACGUAUCCAACCUGCCGAUGACUCGGGGAUAGCCUUUCGAAAGAAAGAUUAAUACCCGAUGGCAUAGUUCUUCCGCAUGGUGGAACUAUUAAAGAAUUUCGGUCAUCGAUGGGGAUGCGUUCCAUUAGGUUGUUGGCGGGGUAACGGCCCACCAAGCCUUCGAUGGAUAGGGGUUCUGAGAGGAAGGUCCCCCACAUUGGAACUGAGACACGGUCCAAACUCCUCGGGAGGCAGCAUG